AGUGAACGCUGGCGGUAGGCCUAACACAUGCAAGUCGAACGGCAGCACAGUAAUAGCUUGCUCUUACGGGUGGCGAGUGGCGUACGGGUGAGGAAUACAUCGGAAUCUACUUUUUCGUGGGGGAUAACGUAGGGAAACUUACGCUAAUACCGCAUACGACCUACGGGUGAAAGCAGGGGAUCUUCGGACCUUGCGCGAUUGAAUGAGCCGAUGUCGGAUUAGCUAGUUGGCGGGGUAAAGGCCCACCAAGGCGACGAUCCGUAGCUGGUCUGAGAGGAUGAUCAGCCACACUGGAACUGAGACACGGUCCAGACUCCUACGGGAGGCAGCAGUGGGGAAUAGUGGGCAAUGGGCGCAAACCUGAUCCAGCCAUACCGCGUGGGUGAAGAAGGCCUUCGGGUUGUAAAGCCCUUUUGUUGGGAAAGAAAAGCAGCAGGUUAAUACCCCGCUGUUCUGACGGUACCCAAAGAAUAAGCACCGGCUAACUUCGUG
rnacentral:rRNA from 1 species